UUAAACGUAGCCCUAAACAUAUCUAUCCAAUUGACUACAAAUCUCGUUUGUGGCGUACAAAAAAUGAAAUGGAGCUAUCAUUCAGAAUGUGUAUGUAGGUCAGAACCUUGACGAUUAAACAACAUAGAACGAUUUGUGUCGAUAUUCUCGAAAAUCAGGAAAUGAGAAGGAUGCGAUUAGUUACAUAUUAUCGGGUGUUUUGAAAUGGAAUGUGGAACGAUUCGGAAGAGGAUAUCGUCACCAGAGACUUACAUCAAUUAAUAGUCGAUGAAGGAAGUGACGAAGGUAAGAGAUGUGGAAGAGAAACUUACAACCAAAGUCGAUGUCGAACUCAGAGACUUACAGUAGAUAAAUAGUUGAUGUCGGACUCAGAGACUGAAGAAACGAAAAAAUGGGGGUUGAAGACAGCAAGAUUGAAGAAAUCUUGUUUAUAAAGAUAUCAGCGAAAAGUGAAGAACUUCAAAAGAAUACCUCGAAAUCGAUUAAGAAUGGAAACACAAUCAGACCCUGGUAUACUUGGUUUCGGAUGCCUGCUGAUUCUUGCUUCCUUCAUAUGAGGUUUAUUGGCCUUUUUGCCCUUGUUGAUGCUCCUGCUGCAUACCCAAUAAAAGGAUGGACCGGAGUUGCUGCAUUAUCUCAUGUACAGUGUGAGACACUGGUAUACUUGGUUUCGGAUGAUUCUUGCUUCCUUCAUAUGAGGUUUAUUGGCCUUUUUGCCCUUGUUGAUGCUCCUGGUAUGUUUUAUGUCGCUUUAUAGUUGAUUGCCUUUUUUUGGUUCAUUCCUAUUAGUCCAUUGCCCUUUAUGUCGGUUUUUAUGAAAAGUAGGGCGCUAUAUUAUGAAAUAAGUUAUUUGGUAAAAUGGUCCAUAUAUAAGGGCAGAAUUGUCCUUUUCUAUUAAAAAGAAAUAAUGAUAGUUUUUUUAGUAUACGACAUAAACAGAAAAACAAACAAUGAUAGGACAAAUGGUCAUUUUGGUGAUAAAAUGUGUAAGAAUGGUCCCUAUGGAAUGAACUAUAUGACGAAUUAUAGAACAUAAAUAGAAUAAACAGGAAAAAUAUAUGUUCUUCAACUUUUUCCUCUAAACGGUCAAACCUAAUUUAAAACUGAAAUUCAAUGGUUUUAAUUAUUUUAAUAUAUUUCUUAUUAAUUACAAUGUAAAAACUAUUCGUUAUGCCCUUGUACACAAGUACAUUGGUUGUUGUUAAUUUAAAUUUAACUGUUUUUAAACAUAUUAUUUUCCAAGAUUAAUUUUAGUGUAAUUGUGAUAGAAACAAAUUUUAAAGCGAAAGUGUCAAAUAAGUAAAAAUGUACUGUUAAACCACUUCAAAUAAACAAAACAAACGUAUAAAAACUAACGAAAGUCCCCAAAAUACUUGAACGAAACAACGAAAUAGUCUUUAAAACAAAACCAAACUUAAUAAUUGUUUUUAAAAACCAUAAUCAACUCAUUUCUCCACUUUUGGCACCCAAACUGGAGUAUCUUCACCAAAAGAUUCCGUAUUUGAUUUUAUAGAAUUUGCAUCACUAUCAUCUUCUAGAUCAUAAACGUCAUCACCAUAACAACUCACUUUUCCACUUUUGGAACUAAAAGUGGGUUUCCCUCUCCCAUUGAUUUUCUUUUAGAUUUUAUUGAACUCAAAUCACCUCCACCAUCAACAUCAUAAAUGUCAUGGAGGUUGCGCUUCAAAUCAACUGAUAUUUUCAAUGGACUUGUUGCGGAUGAUUUAUCAAUUGUCGAGGGAGUAAAAUUCUCAUCCGUUUGUGAUAUGACAUCCUAAAUUAAAAAAACAUAAGUUGACAAGCGAUCUAAUUAAAUAUAAAUAAUAAAUAAAACUUAAUAUGAGAAUAUAACAUACCUUUUGAACAUUUUGAACGACCUCAUCUGAUUCCAGGGGUACUUCAUUUAAGGACACUGAUUGAACACUCUAGAAAAUAAUAUGGAAAUAUGUAAAACGUUAUGUAUGUAAAUAAAAAAUAAAUAUAAAUAUUGAACAUUAAAACAUUAUUUACCAUAAGUUCUAGUUUACUUUCCAAUUCUAAAACAACGGACUCAUCUUCUGUAAGUUUGACAACGGUGUAGAUAUUGUUAUAGUUGGUGACAUUGUAGGAUGUAACAUCUACAAGAAACGCAAAUUUGCGGUUUUUCAACACGUUCAUAUGAUUUGGAUAUAGUUCCAAACUGUCACCAGCCUGUAAGAAGAUUGUUUAAUAUAUUAAAACAAAUAAAAUGUUAUUUGAUAGAAAAAUAUGAAUAAAAAACUAUACCUCCUCAUGUAUUUUUUUCAACUCGAAUGCACUUAUAUCCAACAAUCUUUUUGCUUCCCUAUCAAAAAGAGUGAAUCCGAUGGUGCCAGUAUGAUCUUGUACGUUGAUUGGAAUUAUAUACCUAAAAAAUAUUAGAUUAUUAGUAAUUUUGUUGAAUGAUUGAAAUGAUUAAUAUAAAUGGAGGUAUGCGUAUACUUUAUAACAAUAUGAAAAUUCGAAUCGUUGCAAGCUGCAUUUUUACACUUAAUUACAACACUAUCUUCCAUCUUGCCGGGGGCGGUAUAGGAAAGAUUGGUUUUGGGCACAUUGUUUAUCCUUCUUCCACAUUUGUAGCACGCAUCGUAAUACCAAGGUAGAUUCUGUCUUAUAUUGACGAUGGAACCAACUAAUAGAAAUUUCAUUUCCUAUAUCAAAUAAAAUGUAAAAUUAAAAAAAAAUACAAUGUUCAAAUAAAAUUAAAAGAUAUAAAGUACAAAACAUAUACCUUAAGUGGUUCUGUGAUCUCACAAACAGUUUUUAAAGGGAAAUCGCCUUUAAAAUCAUCUAUAUAAGAGGUAGAGUAGCUUGGGAGCGUAGUAAUGCUUUUUCCAGACAUACCUCCUUUGUUAUUAGCCUUCAAUCUGCAAUGUUUAAAAUUAAUUUAUUAAAUAUAAGAAAUUGUAUUCAUCUAAAUAAAUAUAAUAACAUAAAUAAGUUUAAAUAAAAACUAAAAAAACUAACUCUUUCUUAAACUCAUUAAUUUCAACAAUGUCUGAAUUAAUGAACAUUUUGGUUACAUCAAAAUGACUUUGGGUUUGACCAAUUCCUGUAAAAACAGAUUAGUCAAUAAAAGUAGAUUGGAAAACAAAUUAAUUAAUAAAAUACAAACCAUUCCAAACGUUAAGUUUCACGAACUGCAUCACUAUAACAACACAAGUAAUGGUGGUGUUACUUUUCAGGUAAUGUGACAUCUCAUGUGCCUGACUUCCAAAUAUAGUGACAUUGAGGUGUACAGACCUAAAUAAAAAAUUAAUUUAAUUAGUAUGAAAAAAUAUGACUAAAAAUAAUAAAUAAAUGAAAUAAAUAUCAUCUCACUCGAAGUUGCUAAUAGUCAUCUUCAUGUAAUGUUUUGAUGGAUUAGGAUUGGUUGUCUCAAGUGGCCUAAAUGAGACAAUUAGCCCAAUAACAUCUACACAAUUUUAAAAUAAAAAAAUAUAAGAAUCAGUUAAAUACUAACAUUUAUAAUUUAUUUCUUUUAGUUAUAAAAGUGAAUGAAAUAAAAUUAAACAACUAACCAAAUAAUGUGUCUCUUGGGCAUUUCUGUUCGAUGAUAGAGUUGAAAUCAGCAAACACAAAACCAUUAACGGGACCCGAAAAAUCAUCAGAUUUUUUUACGAUACUUUUCCAAUCCAAAGUUAAUGUCUGUUUCUGACCGGUAACACUAAAACCAUUUUUAACACCCGCCAAGUUUGGUUUUAAAAUGAUAUAAUUUUCACCUUCCUUUAAAAGGUCACGAAAUCUUGAAAAAUUUUGGUGGAAAACACGAGAUUGGUAUUUUGUACCCUAUUAAAACAAAAACAAAAAAAUUAUUCCUUGAAACAUAUGUAAUAUUUAGUAGGUUUAAAAAAAGUAAACUAACCUCCUCGUCCAUGACGAUCAUUUCAAUCGAUAAAACGUGGUUAUUUUUUAUAAAAUUCCAAAUCUUUAACACCCGUAGUUUGAGAUGUGAAUCAUCAGCAAUAUGUUCAAUGUCUUUUAGAUAUAGUUUAUUGCCGAUAUUCAUUAUCUGCGAACAAUUGAUAGCAUAUUGAAAUUAUUAUAAAUUUUGCCCUUUACAUUAUAAAUUCAAAGCAUAUUAUUAAACAGUUAAUAUUAAAUGCAAACAAUUAUAAACAUAUUACAUAAUAUAUUACAACACAAAUAUAGAUGGAAAACAUUAUUGUUUUCCAUCUAAUAAAUCCAAAUUGUAAUUGUAAUGACUAAUAGUGUAACCGGUUAAAUAUGUAUUUAGACAAUAAUAUUUCAGUAUUUUACCUUACAUCCAACAUUGUAUCAAUUUUUAGGCAAAUUUAUAGAACAAUUAUCAACUGCUAUACAAUGUUUUUUUUUUAUUUAAAACAAUCAUCACGUGCAAAUCAUGAUCAUCAAAUAAUUCCACACAUGGGCAAUGUUGUUUCACUACACGUGCAAAUGAUGAUAUUUUCCAUCACUAACUAUUAUGAUUUAAAUAAACAAUUUUAGUAAAUUCCCACAACUAAAAACAACUAUUCACAUACUUGGAAGGUUUAUUAGUUAAAAAAAAAUAAAUAAACAACAACAACAAUAAUGCUAAACAUAGGUAUGAUCAUCAAUUUUUAGGCAAAUUUAUAGAACAAUUAUCAACUGCUAUACAAUGUUUUUUUUUUAUUUAAAACAAUCAUCACGUGCAAAUCAUGAUCAUCAAAUAAUUCCACACAUGGGCAAUGUUGUUUCACUACACGUGCAAAUGAUGAUAUUUUCCAUCACUAACUAUUAUGAUUUAAAUAAACAAUUUUAGUAAAUUCCCACAACUAAAAACAACUAUUCACAUACUUGGAAGGUUUAUUAGUUAAAAAAAAAAAUAAACAACAACAACAAUAAUGCUAAACAUAGGUAUGAUCAUCAAAAAAUGAUUUUGUCUGAUUCUAUUAUUUUUUUUUACGAAUAAAAUCAAUAACACAACCUUAAUUAUUAGCUCAUGAAACCCAACACAAAAAGUAAGAAGAUAAGGUGUGAAUUGACUCACUUAAAUAAGCAGAUGAAUAUGUUAAAUUAAAAAAAAAAAAACAAAGGGUUAAAUUGAGGAAAUAGUAACAUACUUUUUUUUAUUAUUAGAUUAUCCUACUUUCUGAUUCAUCAUAAAAGUACAUUGUUAAAUUUUGAACGUGUUUACAAUUUCUUUUUGUCUGUUUUUUUAUUAUUAUUUUCUGGAAAGUACUUUGUGUAUAUAUAGAAUAAAAAAACAGUUUACCAUCACAUUAUGCUAAUUGCUAUAUUAUUUGCAGCAAAUAUUAUAAUUUCCAGCAAAGUAUUAUGCUAUUUGCUAUAUUAUUUCCAACAAAGAAGGAUGAAUUGAAUGUUUAAUGCUAAUUGCAUUGAUCCUUUAUAGUAGAAUAAAAACAGAAAAAGAAAAAAAAAAACGGUUUAGAAUCCCACUACAAUAUUAGAUAUAUUAUAUCCAGCAAAAGAUGAUGAUUCAGGAAUACUGAGAUGCGAUAGAGGAACCAUGAAGAAGAUGAAGGAGAAGGAAAUAAAUGCAGAAAUAAAUAACAAUAGAAUAAAAACUAACCUUAUGCGUUGAAGUUUGAUGAAGCAGAAUUUCAAAGAUGCAGUCGAUACAGGAAGAAUAUGAAGCAGAAUAUCAUAUAUCCAAGUAAGCGGUGGAUAUAUAGUUCAGAAACUGAAAGAACGAUGUUUACGAUAUUUAAGGUUUAUUGGAAUAGGAAGAUUUGAAAUUUUAAAUCCGAAAAAUUAAGAUCACAUUCCAGAUUUUACUGCACUGUGUGUUGAAAUGACCAAAAGGGCAAUUUCGGUAUACCACUUAGAUAAUUUGAGCGGGAAAAAUAGGUUGGGGGAGGCUGAGAAAUUGCCACGUGGCAAUUUGGUACUGUUUUAUUAGGAUAGUAGAUAUGAAUAUAUCUUUUAUAUAUGGAAUAUAUAUUGAUAUAUUGAUUAUUAUCAUUAUCAUUUAAUUUCGACAUUUAUUUCCUAAAAUCAUGCAAUUGCAGAGAAUACGGGUGAAAUUUUAAUUGAGUUUGAAUUUCUUUUGCAGAUCACAUUCCAGAUUUUACUGCACUGUGUGUUGAAAUGACCAAAAGGGCAAUUUCGGUAUACCACUUAGAUAAUUUGAGCGGGAAAAAUAGGUUGGGGGAGGCUGAGAAAUUGCCACGUGGCAAUUUGGUACUGUUUUAUUAGGAUAGUAGAUAACUUCCAAUAUUUUGAAUUUAUGUACAAUCAUAUACGGUAA